GUUAUUUCCAUUCCUGACCGAGUGUCAUAAUUACAUCCGGAUCCUUCAUAAAAUGCCAGACGGCAGGAUGUAUGUGUGUGGUACCAAUGCUUUCAAUCCAACCUGUGAUUUAAUGUCUUAUACAGACGGCAACCUGACUCUGGAAAAUAAACAACAUGAUGGGAAGGGGAAAGUGUCCAUUUGAUCCUUUCCAGAGAUACGCCUCUGAACUUGUUGGGGGAUGGGGAGGACUGUGGCUACUGCAUAAGAAGUGGACUUCAUUUCUAAAGGCUCUUCUGGACUGUCCUGUCCCUCAAAGCAAAUUGCCUUUAAUUAUACAGGAUGUUUUCCUCUUCUGCCCAGGCCCCUGGAGAACCUGUAUGUUCUAUGGAGUCUUCACUCCUCAGACGAGCACAUCACAGUACUCUACAGUGUGUGCCUAUGGGAUACAAGACAUCAGGGAAGUGUUCUCUGAAGGCGAAUUCAAAAUGCUGUACGAUAACUAUCCUGUUAGAAAAUGGGUGACGUACAAUGGAGAAGUGCCUGACCCCCGUCCUGGA